rnacentral:rRNA from 1 species
UCACUAUAAAAAAAAAUUAAUUAAAUUUUAUAUAUCAUUAUUAAAUAAAUUAUAAAAAUAUUUUAGUUAAUAUUUAUUUAUAUAAAUUAAAUUAAAUCAAGAUAUAGAAUAAUUAAUUUAAAAUGAAUUAUUUUUAAUUAGAUUAAAUUUAAGGAAAAUUAUAUUUAUUUUAUUUAAAUUUUAAAGUAAUUUUAUUUUUAUUAGAUAGAAUGAAUUAAUUUAUUAUUAUGUACAAAUUGCCCGUCACUUUUAUUUUAAAAAAUAAGUCGUAACAAAGUAAAUAUAUUGGAAAAUGUAUUUUAAA